rnacentral:rRNA from 1 species
UACGAGGGGGGCAAAUGUUGUUCGGAAUCACUGGGCGUAAAGGGAGCGUAGGCGGGCUUCUAGGUUAGAUGUUUAAUCCCGGGGCCCAACCCCGGACAGGCACCUAAAACUGGAAGUCUUGAAUAGUGGAGAGGACGGCGGAAUUGGGGGUGUAGCGGUGGAAUGCAUAGAGAUCCCCAAGAACACCAGUUGCGAAGGCGGCCGUCUGGACACAUAUUGACGCUGAGGCUCGAAAGCAUGGGGAGCAAACAGG